GCCUUUGUAGCUCAGUUGGUUAGAGCGCCGUGCUAAUAACGCGGAUGUCCACGGUUCGAUCCCGUGUAAAAGGCA
rfam:Hypsibius dujardini strain Z151 scaffold0124, whole genome shotgun sequence.